CCCGCCCGUCACAUCACGAAAGUCGGUUGCACUAGAAGUCGGUGCGCUAACCGCAAGGAGGCAGCUGACCACGGUGGGAUCAGCGACUGGGGUG
rnacentral:rRNA from 1 species